AUUGAACGCUGGCGGCAGGCCUAACACAUGCAAGUCGGACGGUAGCACAGAGAGCUUGCUCUUGGGUGACGAGUGGCGGACGGGUGAGUAAUGUCUGGGGAUCUGCCCGAUAGAGGGGGAUAACCACUGGAAACGGUGGCUAAUACCGCAUAACGUCGCAAGACCAAAGAGGGGGACCUUCGGGCCUCUCACUAUCGGAUGAACCCAGAUGGGAUUAGCUAGUAGGCGGGGUAAUGGCCCACCUAGGCGACGAUCCCUAGCUGGUCUGAGAGGAUGACCAGCCACACUGGAACUGAGACACGGUCCAGACUCCUACGGGAGGCAGCAGUGGGGAAUAUUGCACAAUGGGUGCAAGCCUGAUGCAGCCAUGCCGCGUGUAUGAAGAAGGCCUUCGGGUUGUAAAGUACUUUCAGCGGGGAGGAAGGCGAUGCGGUUAAUAACCGCGUCGAUUGACGUUACCCGCAGAAGAAGCACCGGCUAACUCCGUGCCAGCCGCCGCGGUAA
rnacentral:rRNA from 1 species